rnacentral:rRNA from 1 species
CGACGGGUGAGUAACACGUAUCCAACCUGCCGUCUACUCUUGGACAGCCUUUCUGAAAGGAAGAUUAAUACAAGAUGGCAUCAUGAGUUCACAUGUUCACAUGAUUAAAGGUAUUCCGGUAGACGAUGGGGAUGCGUUCCAUUAGAUAGUAGGCGGGGCAACGGCCCACCUAGUCUUCGAUGGAUAGGGGUUCUGAGAGGAAGGUCCCCCACAUUGGAACUGAGACACGGUCCAA